rnacentral:rRNA from 1 species
UGGGGAAUAUUGGACAAUGGGCGAAAGCCUGAUCCAGCAAUGCCGCGUGAGUGAUGAAGGCCUUAGGGUUGUAAAGCUCUUUUACCAGGGAUGAUAAUGACGGUACCUGGAGAAUAAGCCCCGGCAAACUUCGUGCCAGCAGCCGCGGUAAUACGAAGGGGGCUAGCGUUGUUCGGAAUUACUGGGCGUAAAGCGCACGUAGGCGGAUUGUUAAGUCAGAGGUGAAAUCCCGGAGCUCAACUUCGGAACUGCCUUUGAUACUGGCAAUCUAGAGUCCGGAAGAGGUUAGUGGAAUUCCCAGUGUAGAGGUGAAAUUCGUAGAUAUUGGGAAGAACACCAGUGGCGAAGGCGGCUAACUGGUCCGGUACUGACGCUGAGGUGCGAAAGCGUGGGGAGCAAACAGGAUUAGAUACCCUUGUAGUCCCUGAGCGGGCUGGCAAGGCGCAU